rnacentral:rRNA from 1 species
UACGAAGGGGGCUAGCGUUGUUCGGAUUUACUGGGCGUAAAGCGCUUGUAGGCGGUCCACCAAGUUUGGGGUGACAGUUGCCGACUUAAUCGGCAAAGUGCCUCAAAGACUGGCGGACUUGAGGGCCACAGAGGGACAUGGAACUCCAGGUGUAGUGGUGAAAUGCGUAGAUAUCUGGAAGAACACCAAAGGCGAAGGCAGUGUCCUGGGUGGUCGCUGACGCUGAGAGGCGAAAGCCAGGGGAGCGAACGGG